CGAACGGGUGAUGAACACGUGAUUAACCUGCCUUUCAUUCUGGGAUAACUCCGGGAAACCGGGGCUAAUACCGGAUACUCCGUCUCUGCGGCAUCGCCGAGCCAUAGAUCAAACUCAAAUGAAAGAUGGUCUCGCGGCCUAUCAGCUAGUUGGUGAGGUAAUGGCUCACCAAGGCGACGACAGGUAGCCGGCCUGAGAGGGCGACCGGCCACACUGGGACUGAGACACGGCCCAGACUCCUACGGGAGGCAGCAGUGGGGAAUAUUGGGCAAUGGGCGCAAGCCUGACCCAGCGACGCCGCGUGAGGGAUGAAGGCCUUCGGGUUGUAAACCUCUUUCAGUAGGGAAGAAGCGAAAGUGACGGUACCUAAAGAAGAAGCACCGGCUAACUAUGUGCCAGCAGCCGCGGUAAUACAUAGGGUGCAAGCGUUGUCCGGAAUUAUUGGGCGUAAAGAGCUCGUAGGUCGUUUGCCGCGUCGAUUGUGAAUAUCUGAGGCUCAACCUCAGACCUGCAGUCGAUACGGGCAAACUAGAGUGUGGUAGGGGAGACUGGAAUUCCUGGUGUAGCGGUGGAAUGCGCAGAUAUCAGGAGGAACACCAAUGGCGAAGGCAGGUCUCUGGGCCAUAACUGACACUGAGGAGCGAAAGCGCGGGGAGCGAACAGGAUUAGAUACCCUGGUAGUCCGCGCCGUAAACGAUGGGCACUAGCUGUGAGAGCCUUCCACGGUUCUCGCGACGCAGCAAACGCAUUAAGUGCCCCGCCUGGGGAGUACGAUCGCAAGAUUAAAACUCAAAGGAAUUGACGGGGCCCCGCACAAGCAGCGGAGCAUGCGGCUUAAUUCGACGCAACGCGAAGAACCUUACCAAGGCUUGACAUAUAGCGAAAAGUGGCAGAGAUGUCAUGUCCGCAAGGGCGCUAUACAGGUGGUGCAUGGUUGUCGUCAGCUCGUGUCGUGAGAUGUAGGGUUAAGUCCCGCAACGAGCGCAACCCUCGUUCUGUGUUACCAGCAUUUAGUUGGGGACUCACAGGAGACUGCCGGGGUCAACUCGGAGGAAGGUGGGGAUGACGUCGAGUCCUCAUGCCCCUUGUGUCUUGGGCUGCACGCAUGCUACAAUGGCCGGUACA
rnacentral:rRNA from 1 species